ACCUACUGCGUUCAAUAGUUACAGUUCUUUCUUUUGUUUAUUUUAAAACUCUUAGUUGGAGCCAGAGUGUUAUAUGGUUUGGAUUGGGCCAUGGAAACCAGAACAAUUCAGCAAGCACCCUUUUCUGUCCCAGUCCAGAGAGCAGCUAUGAAAGUAUUGGCAACUGUAUUAUCUUUUGGCUACUUCCUGGCAAAUGAAAAUGAUUACAUGUGACCACUCGGGAUAAAAUUAAAGAUAUCUACAUUGCCUAAUUGGAAAAAACUGGAGAUCAAGAGUAUACGUAUUAACGUCACUCAGUUUCCCAUACUAAAAAGAAGCAACAUGCAGAAACUGGACCCGGGACUCGUUGGUCCACAGGCCGACGCUCCAACCGCUGAGCCAAACCAGCCAGGGCGGAUUUUGUAUUCUUUAAGUGGU